GACUCUGGUAAUGAGUCACUUAAUAGCAGAGGGUACCCUCUAGUAGACUUUGCUGAUCUUGGAAGCUAAGUAGAGUUGGAACUGGUUAGUACUUGGAUAAGAAACCACCUGAGAAUACCAGGGCUACAGGCU
rnacentral:rRNA from 1 species